CAAGUGCGGCAAGAAUGUAAUUAUAAGGGUCAGACUCUGCUGCUCUGGAGUGCAGAGGGAGAGGGGAGGAGGUGGUCCUUUCCCUUGGAAGAAUCGACACGAGGACCCCAAUUCUCCCUCUGUAAACCUGGAAAAGAGAGCCCUUUGAUAAAUUUUGGUGUUUUCAUUCUCUCUCAUGGAGUUGCUCUGGAUCCCACGGCUGUGGAUCCCUGUGGAGUGGUGACAUAAUUGAAAGGAGCCCUCAAAUAUCUCCAUUUGCACUAAGCAGUUUUUGUGUGCCAUGUGGCUGUAAGUAAGUGAUGCUUGAAACCACAGCAGUCAUUUUGGAGCCACGAGGCAAUAAGCACAAGGAUUAAAAAGCCAAGACCCAAAGAUGGAGAAUCACGGGUGUAAUGAACCUGGAUGAUAUGAUAUGGCAGAGUCCUGAACUGCUAGACUUCUUAUUAGCAUUUCUUUCUGAAGUGCCAUACUGCAACCUUCCUGACAGCCCAGGAUCUCUGCUAAGGGUAAAACGUAGUUUCAACUGAGAGAUCAAGGAUACCAUAUAUGGAAGCACUUUGUAUAGAAGGAAGCUCAAGAUUGUCAUUAAAAUGUUGGCAGCAUCAUUGGAAGACAGACAUACUAUCAUCUUGGAACAAAGAUUGGGCUAAAAUAAUCCAGAAUGAGGAAAAUUGUUUAAAAGAAUUAUCUACACCAAGUAGAAAUUCAUCAGCAUUUUGUGUAAAAGAAAGACGGAAGGUCAGAGGUAAUGUACCUUUCGUUUAUACUGUGUUCAAACGUAGCAUUUCUCAAUGGGUAUACUAUUGAUAAUUUGGCAGUGCUGUGUUAUACAAAAUUUUUCCACAUUGGCAGACACCUGGCAUCCCCGGCGCUUCCUCCAAGGUGCCAGCAGCACCCUCAGUCGUCGUAAAACUAAGAAAGUCCUGAGAAACGCUGCUCUAAUGCUUCAGAGUGCAUGUGAAUAAGUUAUUUCCUUUAAUCAGCAUAAUGAUUCAAAAUAUUUGUAACAUUUUCACUCUUCAGAUGAUGAACUGAGACUGAAAAUGAAUUGCUGGCUUUUUCACCUAUCUAGUGAAGGAUGCUACUGGGCCUCAAACUCGAAUAGGCUGAUUCCUAAUUCAGUUCUUCCUCACAAUAUUGUGCUAUCUUUCAGUGGAGGCAGAGAUUUAUAUUUGAUUUCAUCAACUAAAACAUAUGUGCACCUGAACUUUUGUUGUUAUUUAUAGUCUAACUAUCUUCUAAGGAACAUAGAUUCUGUCAAACAGAGCACACUUUGUUCCGCUGAGGGCCUUGAUGGACAACUUAGCGGUAGGAGCUAAGGGGAACUGGGCUAAUUUGUCUGAUAGAGGGAGAAGGUCAUGGAGCUCCCAGGGAAAAUAAGGAAGGAAGAGGGAGAGGACAGAGAGCCUAGAGGACCUUGGGAAGCCUUGAACUAUAUAACAUGACCCACCCACACACUCUUACUCUGCAUCCCAAGGUAUUACUUGUACAAAGUAUUACUCAUGAAACGCUUAAAGAGUGAAUUGUCUUGUAUAAAAUGACAAAGGGCUGAGUAUUACACCUGGGUUGAGAGAGGCUGCUACAGAGCCAGUACAUAUGGACCCGGAGCCAGAGGCAGGAGGGAUUAUGAGUGUAAGUUUCCUGACAAUUAGCAAGAAUCAAGGACAGGGAUGUUCACAGGUGUGGAAUUGGUGGAUUCACCCAGACAUCUGAGACUAUGGAAGCACGAGCUCACAUCUGGGUCACAGGCAAUUCAAAUGAAGGUUGAAAUACUGCAAUGCUGCAGGGCUCUACAAUAUUUUCCAGGAAUUGUAGUCAGGAAAACUGACUUACGUCAGAGAAAACCAAGCUUGAAAUAUUUGAAGUGACUGAUGAUUUACUUCCCAGUCAGAUGAAGACCAUAGAGGAAUUCUCUGGAUAGAGUUAAAUUGAUGAGUGAGGGGCACGAUGUAGACCCAGAAAUAAACACCUGGAAGGCAUAUUUAGCCAGCGGCCCCAGAACUGUCACUUCCAUAAGCAUGGAGAGGCUUAUGGAUGGUCAUUCUCUGUAAUAAACACUGGAUGGUUCCGUAAAUCCAGAUUCCAUGAAAAUGACAAAAUGACAGAAAAGGACUGAAUCCACAUAUGGAAUAAGGACCAAAUCUUAAGCAUAAUUAUUAUCUAGUUAUGAUUGCUGCACACUGGGAUUCUUAUAUAAACAUCCAGCAUGUUCACAAUAGGAACCUGGUGAAACCUGUCUUGGAUUCCUUUGGCCACAUCACUCUGUUCAGGUUUCAAAUGAGUCUGCUCUGGUUUGUUGCUUUCUUGGAUUCAAAAUCUUCUUACUGUUAGGAAAAUAUUCCUUAUCUUUGCCUGUGCAGUAAUCUUUAUGUGAGAAACAGGAGAUGGUGUUCCCUGGAUGCCUGCACAGCUCUGCCUCUAAGAAUCUCACCGAGACCUGUGCCUGAGUGCUGCCCCCUAGGGAUUCUCUGUGGCAUUGCCCUGCAGCCGCAGGCAGGGUGCUCAUCUGCUAGGCCACCAGGUCCUUCAAGGAUCCCAACUUUCCAAACCGUCCUGAGAGAAGAAAAAAAGAAAGACCAUUACUGAUGCCAGAUUUUUGUGUUGCGUUCUUCUACUCUAAUGCUUCCACAGGAAGUCUCUCAAUUCCUCCUCACAGUUCCAAUUAUCUUGUCCAACCUCUUGCCCUAAGGCAGGCUUCGGCCUGACAUAUCCCAGACACAAUUAGUCAGUGGUUGACUCUCAUUCAAAUAAUAAUAAUAAAUCAGAAUGGCAUUGGGUUCUUUGAGGAUGAACUUGAUAGGCAUGAAAUCUCAAACAAAAUCCUGCGGCUAUGAAUCCGGGUUCCUCUCCCCGACCCCUGGGCAGAGAUUGCCUGUCCCAGCCAGCACAGAAGGAUGAGACACUCUAUAUGGCUUCCACUCUUCCCUCAGUGGCUCUGGGUUUCCACUGCAACCAGUUUAGAAUCCAAUGUUUUACAAGAAGAUGCCACAGAAGGAGCACAACUACUGCUUAGGCAGGCAACUCUCAGGUUCCCAGAAUUUAAAAGAGUUCAGAAAUUAUCCUAGAAGUCAUAGUUAAAGGGUGUUCAGGGACAAGUAUAAGGCCCACCAACAGUUCCUUCAUUAAGGGACAUUUACAGAAUGCAAUCGGAGUCCCAAAAUUCAAAGAAAAACCCCACAACCUUAAGCUAACCAUCUUUAGCUUAAUUCUCUAUAUUUGCAAGUAACUCUUUUUCUACAUUUUAAAACAUGGAUUUGAAAUUUGCAUGGCAUGGCAAUCUACCCAAGCCAAUCAUGUUGGCAAAUAUAACACUUUUUCUGGUAAAUAUUAAUAGCCUCCAACCAUCAGAAGUGAGGAAGCGUUGGGGGAAUCAAUAUAUUCCUUCCUUCACAACCUGGCUACCAGGAGUCAUAUUAUAAUGAAAAGAGGUUUCAGAAAAUAUUCUGACAAUACCUAGACAUUUAUUUACAAAGAGUCUCAAAAACAGUCUUAAACAUGGCAUGUAGCUAGGAAAGUCCCAGUCUUUAUCCUUGGGCCCUUUUUUACCUUUGAGUCUUCUGUUUUGCAUUCCCCAUAAAAGGCUUAGUUGAAUUUAGGGCAAGCAUAUUCUGAUGGCAGGUGUGUCCAGCUUUGUACGGGGUCAGGUACAGGGUUCUCUGUGAAGUGGAGGACAUAGAACCAACUUGGGGGUCUAGACUGCAAGCUUGCACCAUUUGUAUUCAGAAAGCUGGGCUUGCCAAUGCUUAUGCUUCAUUCAGGUAAGGGCAGAGUUUCCUCUCUAACAUCCCUAACCAACCAUCUGGUUUGAUUUCUACUCACCUCACCAAUUAGAAACUAUUUUAAAUAUCUGUUAUGUUAAUAAGCCUCCUGGCAUAGAUGUAGUUAAUUAUAUUUAAAUGCUAAGUGGACCAUCUUAGAAGAUGUUGGCUCUGGCUAGGGUACUUCAUCCGAGUUAACCAACUCCAGCAGUAGUUAACUGCUGGAUCCCCCAAACAGGGUAUUUUAAAUUCUAGCCUCCCCUCUUGGAGAACAGAUUAGAGUUAACUUGUCUAUACAACUACAUCACAAUGUCUCAAAUGAAACAUUUUAUUUAUUUAUUUUUCUAUUAAACCAACCAAUCAGCAGCAAAUGGAAGAAGGAUUUUAAAAUGAAAUACCAUGCAGACAAUAUAGCACUUGAGACAGUGAAGACUGCAGAGAGCAAGACAGAGUCAGAAGCAAGAUAACAGGCUUAAUGAGCUGACUUCCUGCUCUGUCUUCAGGAUCGUGAAUCUUGCUUGCCUCAGUAGAUGCUGGGUUCCAUGUAAGGGCCGGCUUUCUUUGCUGAGAUGGAUUUAUUGUACAAGAAAUAAAGCCUCACUGAGCUCUUUCUAAAA